UAGCUACUCGUGAAGCAUACGGCUUG
rnacentral:piRNA from 1 species